GGUCUGGCCAGUAGGAGGCAGCAGAACCUAAUGCUCCGAGUCAGGCUCCAGGCUGGAGUCGGCUCUAGCCCCGCAAAGGAGGAGACGCUCAUCAGUUUGAUGCCUGUUUUCCUUCUCUAUGAACUGAAAAGGAUAUGAGGCCACUGCAGGAGACAGAGAGGGAAGACAUAAACACAUCAUCCGUAAGUUUAGCAAAAUUUGAGGAUGCUGUGGAAUUGACAGUCGCCUAAGGGACAGAGCCACGUUUUCCCAUCUGUGGGCUCGCUACGGGCUCAUCCAGAGUCCAAAGAUGGAAGACUGCGUUGGUGAAGCUGUUAAGAGAGAGGGAAUGAAAUGUCCUCUGACGCCUUGCCGCCCUCUCUCCUCCUUCCCCAUGGAGCCAGGAGACCCUGAUUGCUAGCUUUUCUGCCUGA